rnacentral:pre_miRNA from 1 species
UUGUCACGUUCAUCGUACAGUAGAAGAGUAGAGAUUUGAAGACGUCGUUAAUGCCGCACCGUCUCUGAGUAUUACUUCAGGUACUGGUUGUAUUGUGGAAACG